rnacentral:rRNA from 1 species
UACGUAGGGUGCAAGCGUUAAUCGGAAUUACUGGGCGUAAAGCGUGCGCAGGCGGUUGGGCAAGAAAGAUGUGAAAUCCCCGGGCUUAACCUGGGAACUGCAUUUGUGACUGCACGGCUAGAGUGUGUCAGAGGGGGGUAGAAUUCCACGUGUAGCAGUGAAAUGCGUAGAGAUGUGGAGGAAUACCGAUGGCGAAGGCAGCCCCCUGGGAUAACACUGACGCUCAUGCACGAAAGCGUGGGGAGCAAACAGG